AGGAGGAAAGACCACGCACACCCUGACACAGGUCGGCCAGCUCACCCUAGCUAGUUCAGAAGGUUUUCAGAGUAUUGAUGCGGAUACUCAAUAAAUGGGAGCUAUUAGGAUUACGUCCAAAGAAGCUCAUUUAGAAACUGCACCAAAUCCUUGGCGGCAGUUCCUGAUGCCUUGGCAGGAAGUAGGCAGACAUCCAGCGGCACCACGUUCCUGGCAUCCUCGGAGGACCCUACCCAGCAGGAGAUGCAGUAGAGACUGAGGUUUCCUGGAGCACCAGAGUUGACAAAGGGCUGCCUAUCCCACGCGGCAGUGCUGCUGGCCCCAGAGCCCAUCCAUGGGCUGUCAGGACUAGGAGGCCUCAGCUUCAGUGGACGUCUCUCUGAGCUUGGGCUCCCUCCUUCUACCCAUCGUGGGCAGCCUGAUCUCCAAACCACCAAGUUGCAGAUGCUACCGUGAUGUCAUCCUGACUUCCUUGGACAGAUGUCCUCACCAAUGUGUCCUGGAAUCCCACCUCUCCCAGAGCCCUGCCCCACUAGGGAAAGACAAACAGGCUGGGGGGAUGGAUCUACCUGCCAACACCCAUGUCCAGUGGAGAAGCAACUACAGAAGCCAGACCUCCCACCUUCUGCUCCCCAUGAGGAAUUCUGGUCCAUACUCCCAGAGGGAAAAAGAACAGGGAAGCUUCCAAUGGAGGGGAUGGGACACAGAACUCUGGUGAUGGGAACUAUAUGGGAUUGUACCCCUCUUACCCUACAAUCUUGUUAACCAUUAUUAAAUCACUAAUAAAAAGAAAACAAAAUAAAUAAAUAAAUAAAAAAGACACAACCAUGCCCAAAGGCCUCCUCAGAGUCACUUCUAAAGGUAAUCUUACAGAAAUAUGGCUAUCCUAGAGCAUUGUGUGCAAGAUGCCUGAAUUUCAUGACACUCACAUCAAGUUUCAAAAAUACC